rnacentral:rRNA from 1 species
CUGAACAGUUACGUAUUAUCUGCGGGCAUCGUGUCUUCGAAAGUUUGAUCAUAGCUCCAGAUUGAACGCUGGCGGGAUGCUUUACACUGCGAGUCGAACAGCGGCUGGACUUCGGUGGUGGCAGUGAACAGGGUAUUAUUCUUUGUCAGACGUGCCUAGUAGCGGGGAUAACUACGCAGCUGUAGCUAAUACCGCUCACCCUUCGGGGAAAGCGGGGACCUUCGGGCUCGCACUAGUAGGCAGCCAGUGAAUCAUCGGAUUAGCUAGUUGGUGGGAUAACGGCUCCUCAGGCGGCGAUCGUAGCUGGUUCAGAGGACGACCAACCCACACUGGGACUGGACAGCCAGACUCUGGAGGCAACGGUGGGGAAUUUUUGGACAAUGGAGGAAACCUGAUCAACCAUCCCGCGUGUCUGAUGAAGGCCUUCGGGUUGUAAAGCACUUUGGCAGGAAAGAAACAGCACGGAUAAUACCCCGAUGCAACUUACAAUGGCUACCGCAGAAUAAGCCUCCGGCUAACUACGUGCAGCUGGCCUGCGGUAAUACGUAAGGAGUGCAAGCGUUAAUCGGAGAUUACUGGGCGUCUUGCAGCGUGCGCAGGCGGUUCAGGAAAGAAAGAUGUGAAAUCCCGAGCUUAACUUUGGAACUGCAUUUUUAACUACCGAGCUAGGUGUCAGAGGGAGGUGGAAUUCCGCGUGUAGCAGUGAAAUGCGUAGAUAUGCGGGAGAGGAACACCGAUGGCGAAGGCAGCCUCCUGGGAUAACACUGACGCUCAUGCACGAAAGCGUGGGGAGCAAACAGGAUUAGAUACCCUGGUAGUCCACGCCCUAAACGAUAUCAACUAAGCUGUUGGGGCCUUCGGGCCUUGGUAGCGCAGCUAACGCGUGAGAGAUUGACCGCCUGGGAAGUACGGUCGCAAGAUUAAAACUCAAAGGAAUUGACGAGGCCACACAAGCGGUGGAUGAUGUGGAUUAAUUCGAUGCAACGCGAAAAACCUUACCUACCCUUGACAUGUCUGGAAUCCCGAAAGAGAUUUGGGGUGCUCGCAAGAGAACCGGAACACAGGUGCUGCAUGGCUGUCGUCAGCUCGUGUCGUGAGAUGUUGGGUUAAGUCCCGCAACGAGCGCAACCCUUGUCAUUAGUUGCUACGAAGGGCACUCUAAUGAGACUGCCGGUGACAAACCGGAGGAAGGUGGGGAUGACGUCAAGUCCUCAUGGCCCUUAUGGGUAGGGCUUCACACGUCAUACAAUGGUCGGGACAGAGGGUCGCCAACCCAUAGAAGUCCAAUCCCAGAAACCCGAUCGUAGUCCGGAUCGCAGUCUGCAGCUCGACUGCGUGAAGUCGGAAUCGCUAGUAAUCGCGGAUCAGCAUGUCGCGGUGAAUACGUUCCCGGGUCUUGUACACACCGCCCGUCACACCAUGGGAGUGGGUUUUACCGAAGUAGUUAGCCUAACCGUAAGGAGGGCGAUUACCACGGUAGGAUUCAUGACUGGGGUGAAGUCGUAAUGAGUAG